GAUGUCGUGGCCUAAUGGUAAGUUUUACAAGUAAAAUUUUAUUGAACUCAAUCUAACGAUAGAUCAGGCAAGGCGCUACUUUCCGGUGGUAGAGAUUGAGGGUUCGAGUCCCUUCGACAUCG